GAUUAGCUCAGCCGGUAGAGCAACGCAUUCGUAAUGCGUAGGUCGUGGGUUCGAGUCCCAUUUCUG
rnacentral:tRNA from 1 species